GCUGGGCACAGUGGCACACACCUGUAGUUCCCGAUACUCAGGAGGCUAACACGGGAGGAUGGCUCGGGAGCUCUGGGCUGCAGUGCGCUAUGCCGAUCUGGUGUCCACACUAAGUUCUGCAUCAAUAUGGUGACCUUCCAGGUGUGGGAGACCACCAGGUUGCCUAAGGAGGGGUAAAUUGGCCCAGGUUGGAAAUGGAGCAGGUGAAAACUCCUGUGCUGAUCAGUAGGGGGACGGCACCUGUGAGUAGUCACUGCACUCCAGCCCGGUGAAGAUGAUUCCUGUA
rnacentral:SRP_RNA from 1 species